rnacentral:rRNA from 1 species
UACGGAGGGUGCAAGCGUUGUCCGGAUUUAUUGGGUUUAAAGGGUGCGUAGGCGGCCCGUUAAGUCAGUGGUGAAAGCCUCCAGCUCAACUGGAGAACUGCCAUUGAUACUUACGGGCUUGAGUACAGACGAGGUUGGCGGAAUUGAUUGUGUAGCGGUGAAAUGCAUAGAUACAAUCAAGAACUCCGAUUGCGUAGGCAGCUAACUAGGCUGUAACUGACGCUGAGGCACGAAAGCGUGGGGAGCGAACAGG